GACGAACGCUGGCGGCGUGCUUAACACAUGCAAGUCGAACGGAAAGGCCCUGCUUUUGUGGGGUGCUCGAGUGGCGAACGGGUGAGUAACACGUGAGUAACCUGCCCUUGACUUUGGGAUAACUUCAGUAAACUGGGGCUAAUACCGGAUAGGAGCUCCUUCUGCAUGGUGGGGGUUGGAAAGUUUCGGCGGUUGGGGAUGGACUCGCGGCUUAUCAGCUUGUUGGUGGGGUAGUGGCUUACCAAGGCUUUGACGGGUAGCCGGCCUGAGAGGGUGACCGGCCACAUUGGGACUGAGGUAGGGCCCAGACUGCUACGGGAGGCAGCAGUGGGGAAUAUUGCACAAUGGGCGGAAGCCUUAUGCAGCAACGCCGGGUGCGGGAUGACGGCCUUCGGGUUGUAAACCGCUUUCGCCUGUGACGAAGAGUGAGUGACGGUAAUGGGUAAAGAAGCAACGGCUAACUACGUG
rnacentral:rRNA from 1 species